rnacentral:rRNA from 1 species
UACGAAGGGGGCUAGCGUUGCUCGGAAUCACUGGGCGUAAAGCGCACGUAGGCGGAUUGCUAAGUCAGGGGUGAAAUCCUGGAGCUCAACUCCAGAACUGCCUUUGAUACUGGCAACCUUGAGUCCGGGAGAGGUGAGUGGAACUGCGAGUGUAGAGGUGAAAUUCGUAGAUAUUCGCAAGAACACCAGUGGCAAAGGCGGCUCACUGGCCCGGUACUGACGCUGAGGUGCGAAAGCGUGGGGAGCAAACAGG